ensembl:lncRNA
GUGUAGCCCAAGAUGAGGAACAAUAGGCAGAAGAAGAGUAGCCUGGAAAGAAGACAGAAGGAGUUGUCAGAGGGAUAAGAGGAGAACAUGGUUUCUGCUAUGUUAAAGAAGCAAAGGGUAUCAGUGCUGCAGAGAUGUCAUAGAUGAUGAUGAGAGAAUUCACUGAACCUGGCUAUUAAGGAGGUGAGUCACCUUUCCUGCAUCAUUUUCAGCAGAGUGAAGAGGGCAGAUGCCAUAUUGAAAGGGCUUGAAGACUCAAUGAGAAAUGAUGUGGAGACUGUUAUAUAUACCUGUGAUUUUCAAAGUGCUUAGAAACACUGUGUAGAAUCUGGGGCUGCAAGCUCUACAUCAAGAUAAGAGAAGUGAGAUUUAAAUAGAGAUUCAAGAACUUUCUAUAGUAUUUCUGGACCAAAGUCAGUGGAAUUAGUGUGGAAAAAAAAUCUGUGCUGCAGUUGGGAAGAAAGGGAGAAAGAAACAUGUUUUCACCCUUUUCACCUUCAAAUUAAGAGCGUGAUUGUUGACAUGGAACACCCACCGUUCAUUUAGAAGCUGUUGUAUUGACUACUACUUUCCUGUUCCUCGGAUCUGCUCAUCUGAAGGGGUGGUGCUGAUGGGGAUUCGAACAGCUGCACAUUUCCAACAUAGUAUUCCCUAAAUGGUGUCAAAUGACUGGGAAUGAAGUUUUGGUGACUGGAUGAUUUAUUCACUUAGUCAUCGUUGUUCCGUCAGGGGAAACAAUAAGAGGCUUUUGUUUGUGUUUCUGAGUGUAGGGUGUGAGGGAUGAAGAGAAGAGAAUAGCCAUAUAAUGAAACUUUGGUCCUCUUUCUCCCUCUCUCAAAAGAGGUCUUUAUCUUCAAAUUACUAUAAAUAUAUCAUAAAAAGAGAACAUAUACUGCAUUGUGGCCCCUUCCACAUUGUUUUUUCACAUUUUC